UCACCGGCAUACAGGCGUCUUUCUCUCCGCAGACCUCUGGCCCUGCUGCCGCGUCCGGAAAAGAAACCGAAAACCCGCCGGCCCAGAUGCUUACAUAACCCAAGGCGGGGCCUCGCCGAACCCUGGCAGGUCACCGAACCCCUCCCUCUGGCUCAAAGGCAAGAAGAGUUGUUCGUGGAUAUGAAAGCAGAAUGAAGGCGCCUAUGGGCAGGUUGGGAGAGGAGUGAACUGCAUUUAGGUUUCUGGUUCUCAGACUGCUGGACAACUGCAUCUGCAGGCUGUGAAAAUGCAGACCUGCCCGGGUCCGCGGAAGGUCCGCGUCUCAGGUCUGAAGGGAGAUCUGGAAUCCGCCUUCUUUCAUCAACAGCCUCGGGAUUGAUUCUGAGUUCGGAGAUGCUUCUUCUAGCCCCUCCCCCGCGUGGGCCACCCUUGGUUUUAGGAUCCAAGGACACUUCCUACAGCCUCGCGUCCCCCCAGGAAGGAAAGCGCCCGCCGCGGAUCUGGCCUUUGAGUCCAGUCCUGCCCCACGGGAACGAAAAGCAGAGACUAAGCAUCCAGAAAAAAACAAAGAAACAAAACCCACCGAGGUUCUGCCAGGUUCAGGGAGGAAACUACUUUAAACCCAGUAUGACUUCAAAGAGUGGGGUGACUUCUUGAGAAGAUACAGCAACAGCGGAGCCGGGCAGCGCUUCACCGUUGCCAGAAGGGCCGCGUGAGCUCCGACUUGGGCGUGGGUUCCUGACGAGUCCGAGGACUCUCCCGGAGCCGACCCAGCAGGAGGUCAUCAUAGAUCAGCUGCCACCUCACUUGCCAGUCCCUGGACACCUGAUGGCCUUCCCAUUGCACCCCUCAGCCAGGACCCACCUGAUCCCAGGGAUCAGGGGACACCUCUGCUUCCCCUGGGGAUCCUAUGGAGCUAAAGUUAAAUGAUGGGACUUAAUUGACAAGCAAUAAUUACAUGGACAAGUAAGAUUCUACACGACUGUAGCACUUAAUGGUGCUGUUUUCCUUGAACAAUGAAUGAUUUCAAUCAAAAUAAUGGAUUCAAUGCAGAAGCAAAGAUGAAAAUCCAGUGGUUUUCAACUGAGACAGAAGCCAAUCAGCGUCCGACCCGCCGGGACUCACUUACCCGUAGGCCGGAGGAUGCGGGUCGUGGGGCUGCGAACCCCGCUCCUGCUGCUCUCGGGGGCCCUGGCCCUGACCCAGACCCGGGCGGGCUCCCACUCCCUGAGGUAUUUCCACACCGCCGUGUCCCGGCCCGGCCUCGGGAAGCCCCGCUUCAUCGCCGUCGGCUACGUGGACGACACGCAGUUCGUGCGGUUCGACAGCGACGCCCCGAAUCCGAGGAAGGAGCCGCGGGCGCCGUGGGUGGAGCAGGAGGGGCCGGAGUAUUGGGAUCGGGAGACGCGGAUUGUCAAGUACUGGGCAGAGUUCCGGAGGGAACCUGAACACCCUGCGCGGCUACUACAACCAGAGCGAGGCCGGGUCUCACAGCCUCCAGAGCAUGUACGGCUGCGACGUGGGGCCGGACGGGCGCCUCCUCCGCGGGAACAUGCAGUUCGCCUACGACGGCGCCAAUUACCUCGCCCUGAACGAGGACCUGCGCUCCUGGACCGCGGCGGACACAGCGGCUCAGAUCACCAAGCGCAAGUGGGAGGUGGCCGGUGAUGCGGAGCAGGACAGGAACUACCUGGAGGGCAGGUGCGUGGAGCGACUUCGCAGGUACCAGGGGCCAUGGGGCCGCCCUGACCUCCCCUCAGGCUGGAGCUGGCUUCCCACGAGUGCCGAGACCAGCUCGGCGACUCGAGACCCUCCAAAGACACACGUGACCCAUCACCCCAUCUCUGAAGAUGUGGUCACCCUGAGGUGCUGGGCCCUGGGCUUCUACCCUGAGGAGAUCUCACUGACCUGGCAGCGUGAUAGGGAGGACCAGACCCAGGACAUGGAGCUUGUGGAGACCAGGCCUUCAGGGGAUGGAACCUUCCAGAAGUAGGCAGCCCUGGUGGUGCCUUCUGGAGAGGAGCAGAGAUACACGUGCCAUGCGCAGCACGAGGGGCUUCAGGAGCCCCUCACCCUGAGAUGGGAACCCCCUCAGCCCUCCAUCCCCAUCAUGGGCAUCAUUGCUGGCCUGGUUCUCUGCCUGGUCACUGGAGCUGUGGUGGCUGGAGCUGUGAUCUGGAGAAAGAAGCGCUGAGGCUAUGACAGUGCCCAGGGCUCUGAUGUGUCUCUCAUGGGUCAUGGAGGUGAGUCCCUGGAGGGCCUAGAUGGGAGAGGUGUUGGGGCAGAGGGGACACAGUGGGUGAUGGGGAUCUUUGAGUGGCACAUUUGAGCAUGUGGGGGGCUGUUGAGAAUGUCAGCACCUCCGUGACUGACCUGAAUGUGUUCAUGAUUAUUUCUUCCACAGUGUGAGAAAGCUGCCUUGUGGGGACUGAGUGAUGCUCAGUCCCACUUUGUGAGUUUAGAUCCCCUGACUCCUCUUUCUGCAGCUGCAUCUGAAUGUGUCUGUGUUCCUAUCAGCAUAGUGUGAGGAGGUGGGGAGACUGGCCCAGCCCUGCCCACGGCGACCCCUGCCCACCCUGACCUGUGUGCUCUUCCCUGAUCCACUUUCCUGCUCUAACAGAAACAGUGCUGGGCCAUCUCCUUCCCUGUGUUUAUUUCCUUUUGCACUGAGUAGUAAGGUUUUAUUUCCUUAUUGAAAAUAAAAUCUAUUUAUUUGAAUUUGUUUUUUUCUAAUUGGUGCCAUGAGGAGUUAAUGGGAUAUUAAAGGUGAGGAUUCCUAAAGUUUGAGAGAGGAAAUAAAUGGAAACACUGAGAACCUUGUAGAAUAAUUGUGCUUGCUGUUCUCAGUCUGUUGCAGGAGGAGGCUGUGAGAAGCCAAGUGUGGACUGGGCCUGUGACCAGUCAGUGCUCAGUGCAUUGUGGGCUCUGAUGUGGUCACUGCUCUGCUGGGUCAUCUUCGCUGCUCCUUUGUCCUGUCCCUUCAGUAGAACCUUGUCUGGCCAGGACCUGUGGUCACAGGGACUCAGACAUCACCUGGACCUCAUCCUAUCUCCUGGACAGUGGGCAGGAAGGGUUUUGUGUGGUCGGUCAGUUUCGGCUCAGGCCUGGGUCCACUCCUCAGCCCCAUCUUUUGGUUGUUUAUUUGUUGUUUCUUUGUCUCUUUAGAGGUUUUUGCCUGAGUUUGUGUUUUAUUGUCCUCUGGGUGUCCCCCAUCUCUGACAGCUGGAGGAGUCCUUUGCCUGUCACAGUCCCCUCAAGGCCCAAGGCUGCCCCUGCACACAGAAGAGUCUGUGUCCAGAGAUGGAUUUUCAGAUUCAUCCACCUCUUGCCAUCCUUCAGGGAUGUCUUUGUUCUUUCCAUAUUUCCCCCAACAUUCUCAAAGGAUCCAGAUUCUGGAAUGAGCACAAAGGAAGGAAACCAUAAUGUCUCACCUUAGAUUAGUUCCUGUGGGAAUUCUGCUCUGCUCGCCUACCCACUCACUCUCCCUGCCCUGAGCUCUAGUAAUCCUAGUGCUGGUUCCAAUACAAACGCAUGGAUUUAUAAAGCAGAGUCUAAUUUAGGUUUAUUUUUGGUUGCAAAAUAAGACCCAUACGUCAAGGAUCAUUAUUUUCUGAAAAGAAAAAUAUACUUGUGUGAUGUCGUGCGGAGGAGCGUUGAUUUGAGGGAAGGAGACUGUAACACUUGUGAGAAAAACACGGACAGCCUUGAGGUCAAUGUGAGUAGAUGUUGUGCUGUAGCUGCCACAAAACAGUUUGGCCUGAGGUUACAUGAAUAAAGAUACUGUCUCUAGAAUAGGAGGUGCUUUACAUUGACCAUUCGUUCAACUGGUACUGGUUGUGGGCCACAAUGGGUUUUGCAUCUGGGAAAUAUCAUUGAGGUAAAAACAGAAAAUUGCUGGCCUUGUGGAGCAUGUGUUCUCGUGGGAAGAGACACACUGUACACUGUCAUCGUAAUAAAUAAGGAAAGCGUUCUGUUACAAGGGGAUACAGACAAUGGAAAAGAUGCAGAGCAGAAGGCAAUGCAGAGUGUGAGGCGGGGAACAGGACAGGGAAGAUGGUGACUUUACUAGUGUGGUCAGUGUGCUGCACUCUCCCCAUUCUUCACGUGCUUCAGAACUGCAUGCAGUGAGCUGCUGGGUUCCAGACCUGCUGCCCUCAGGCCAGGCCCCUCUCCUCCGGGACUCCACCUCUUGCCCAGCUCCUCUCUGCUUUGUCUCCCUUCCUCAUCAUUUUCCCCUCCCCUGAAUGUCUCUCGCCUUUUUCAAAAGCCUUCUCCUCCUGGAGUACAAAUUCCUCUGAACCACAGGAAAAAAGAGAGGCAAAGACCACUAAGUGAAGCCCUGAAGGACACCGGUGGCUCCCCCUCUAGACAUCCCACCCUGCCUCCUCCAGCUCUGUCUCUGUGUACAUCAGGUGUACCCAACCCCUUGAGGCCUGUUAGGAACUGGGCUUCCUCUGCCACUGCCCAUCCCUCCCCAUAACUUCAUUAUAGCCUUCACCAUCCCUGCCCCCGCCGGUGUGAAAAUUAUCUUCCAUAAACUGGUGCUUGGUGCCCAAAAGUGUGGGGACCGUGGGUGUAAAUACAGAGUCAAAAUUUAGGAAACCUUCCCACCUUGGCAUUGGAUUCAUGAGUUUUGUGUUAUGGUCACAUGUGCCUUUAUUUCUGGAGAUGGGACAAUGAUACUCAUCAGAUCAGCAGACUGCAAAGACCGCCCCCCCCCCCAAAAAAAGGCUUAAAGGACUCUGCAUUAGGGAGGAGGGUGAGAUGGGGGACCUCAUGACUCUACUGAUCACUCCUACAGAAAGGGUUACUGAAAAGUGGUGCAGGACAGUCCAUUCCUUCCAGGGACUGGUCAGGGAAGUCAGAGCCACUGAUGGUGGAUGUCAAAUUCCCUCAAAGAAAUAUCAUUACAAGAAAAUCUUGGGACUUCCCUGGUUAAGAAUCCGCCUGCCAAUGCAGGGGACAUGGGUUUGAGCCCUGGUCCAGGAAGAUCGCACAUGCCAGGGAGCAACUAAGCCCGUGCCCCACAACUACUGAGUCCGCAUGCUACAACUACUGAAGUCUGUGUACCUAGGGCCCGUGCUCCGCAACAAGAGAAGCCACUGCAACGAGAAGGCCUCGCACCACAACGAAGAGUAGCCCCCGCUGGCCACAAUGAGAGAAAGCCUGAGCACAGCAAUGAAGACCCAAUGCAGCAAUAAAUAAAUUAAUAAAUAAAUUUAUUUUAAAAUAAACAAAUAAAAUGAAUGUAUCUGAUUUAAAAAAAAAAAAAAAAAGAAAGAAAAUCUUUGUUACCCUUUUAAGCCCACAUAAAUGCUCAAACAGAACCAACAUCAGAAAACCAAAAUUCUAGUUCAGAUGAGAUCACUGAAGUUGACUAUAAGGCUUCAUGGGACCUGUUAGGUGGAAAGGACAACUCUAUCUAGGGGUAUACCUCAAUAGCCUCUACAUCUUGAGGCCCCCAGAAAGGACACUAUCUCUUCAGCAGCACACAGCGGAGGCAUUUCUGGGGGAAAAAAUGUAUAAUCUCCUUGAAUUCCUAAGGUUUUUACAUUCGCUAAAUGACUUACAUUUAAUCUUUGAACAUAUUGGAAUUAAUUUGCUUAGACUCUAAGUACAGAACCAAGCAGGAAGCAAGGGACUGACCCUAAGCUAUCACCCCAUCCUGUGACACUUUUAGACAAUAAUCAUAAGAGAUUUUGAGCCAACAAAAUCCAUGGCUGGGUAAACAGUAAACUCUCCAUUUCAACCAAUGUUUCAGAUAUUCCAGCUUGCCUAGCAAUAUUCUAACUUGAACCCAGUCUUAACAUUUAAAAUUUAUAUUUUUCUUUGUAUUGAUUUUUAAAUAAUUCAUGUCUAUUACACUGAGUUUGUUGCAAUAAGCCACCCAGAAUCAAGUGUGGAAUUAAGAUAAGUGAAUAAAUGUGUGGUUCUUCAUUGACUCACUGCUAACGCUGUCUUUAAAAUGUAUCAUCACCGUGUGCAGUCACUUCUCACAGCUCUGCUGCUGUGAGAGUAGAGCUCUAGAACCAUCCUCUCCACAACAGUAAACAGCCUAGCCCUCCAGGUGGGCUCCCUGCUGGCUCUCAUGCCCUGCUGUCUGUUACCCACAUAAUAGACGACAUGAUCUUUUAAACUGUAAGUUAGAACACAUCCUCACCACCACAUCCCACAGAACACUGCACUGUCUUCCCUUCUUAGGCAGGAUGAAAUCCCAGUCCCUCACCACUGCCUACAAGCCGCUCAUGAUAGGGCGCCUCUGGCCGCCCUGGCCUCAGCCCACCACGCUCAGCCUGGCUCACUCAGCUACUCACAUGGGUCUCUGACACUGCACAGUCCUGUCCCAGGGCUCCUGUCCCUGCUGUGACUCUCCAAGUGCACCUCCUCUCCAGAGACUCACAUGACUGCUCCCCCCUCCAUUCAGGUCUCUGCUCCAGAGUCCCAAGGUCAAGUCCUCAGAAGCGUCACAUCCAACAAACUCUGAAAUAUUUGCCCUGCCAUCGCCACCACCAAUCUUCUAGCCCAGCCAUAUGUCUCUCCAGAGCACUUAACACUGAUAUCAGAAUAAUUGUUUUUGUCAUCUGUAUCAUUGAAAUACAUGUUCUUUAAAACAGGAACCUUGUCUACUUGUCACCACCUGUAUCUCUAGCAUCUAGAACAGCCCCAGUACAUAGUAGGGGCUCAAUAAU